AUCUGCCCAAAAAAGUCCAAUUAGUCUAAAAAAAAGUCUAAUUAUUGUGGGGCUGCGUUUGAACAUGAAAAACCAAAGCGCAGGGAGGGGUUAAUAGAGUCAACUGAUCGAUGACAAUGGCUUGAUCUCUUCCGGCACAAGCAAGAGAUACAGGUUGUGAGGAGAGAAUUAACGUGUUUGCUUAAUUUAUCCACAACAAGAAACGCUUAAUCAUGCCCUGCUGACAGAUACCAAAAAAAAACAACAAAAAUGUACAAGCAGCAGUUAUCCAUUCAGGUUCAAGCAUCGCAUGGUAAGCACUCUUAUUUUCUAUCUCAACAUUUAGCCACUGUGGGACUAAUUAUCAACUUUUUCUCUUCUUUUUUUUUUUUCAUGAAACAGCCUUAGUGUGCACUAGGGCUGGGAUGUAGCCUGCCUCUAAACCCUUAGGUCCUGAGGAAUACAUUGUCCAUUUGACUAGCGCUCAUGCUAGACGACCCCACAAAUACACUCGCAGACACCCCCAGCACCACCCCUCGCCUUGUGAUAUGCUGGGAUGCUUUUUAAUUAGAAAGGAUUUUUUAAGUGAAAAAAAGACCAUUCCACGAGAAAUUCAUGCUGGCAACCCCCCAAAGCCCUUGUGAGGUUCAUUUGUACACAGACAUGGAUGCACAAAUAUAGCAAGACCGCAUUCGCCAUACAUAAACUUGUACAUCAACUCACUACAUUAAUGGCAUAUUGAUUACAAUUUGUUAGAAUGCAUAUUGCAUAUAAAGAUAUACAAGGAUAUGGAAUUUCACCACUAAUAGUUUAGUCAAUGUGCAAUUAAAUCAUAAUACCACAUUUGAAAGGCAAAUGAUGAAACCAUUGACAUUUCUAGAAGGCUGAUGUCAGUAUAAUGAAUGACUUCCUGUUGGAAGCUAAUCAGAAACAAAUAUUGUUUAAAAGCAGGGCAAUUCCAGACAGUAUUGUGUAUUUGCUAAAGUUUAUGACCAUGUACAAAGAGUUUCAGAUAGCAAAACAUCUCCCUACCUUUGACUUUACAGCGUGCUAUAAUCAUAUAGUCAGUCAAACAUGGCAAAAUUUCAUCUUUAUUCAUCAUUAACUUCUUCCAGGUUUGCACCAAUCAGGAAGUGGGGUGGUGCAUGAACUCCGCUGACCUCCAAACACCCGUUUUUCAUCUAAUCCGGCCCCUGAAGCUCUGCUUGUGGCCAAUGUCCACCUAGUCACUGGUGAUAAUAUUUACUCAGUGCGUUUUACUUCUGUUUAGGUGGUUUGGAGAAAUUCUGAGAGCUUUUGGCUGAAAAAAAUCAGUCGCAACGGUGAUCCAUCUAAACUUUAUUCUCUUUAACAUUGCAUAUCAAUGAGCUCAUCGCUUGUUUCUUCUUCCUGACUAAGCCACGUAAAGCCAGGAGGGACGUGGAGGGCUCAAUCUGCUCAUCCCUGGUCACCUCUGACUGCUAUGAAAGGGAAUUAAACAGGACUGGUACAGUUGGGGAUAUAUUAAGUCAAAUGUAGGCCCGUCAUAGCGGCGCUGAGCAGGUAGAAGAGACGUCCCGGUCGCCCAAGGAUGGUUUAGAUGCUGCGCACUUGACGCGGGGAGGGAGGGUAUAAAACGCCUUAGGUGUGAUGAAAUAAACACGAGAAGCUGGGGCAAACGUUUCUUGUUACAAAUGCUAGCUGAAAGGCACUCUGCCUGCUCUUAAGGCCAACUAAAGCCAUGGUAGAGCAUAAAUCUGAAGCUGAACGUGAAGAGUAACAAAUCUAGAUGAAUGGCACAAACAUAUGAAGGCUCCUCUCUGCACAGCAGGGACAGUGCGCUGGGCCGAGGUCUGAAUGAUAAUCAGCAUCAAACUGAGCGGCGAAGAGCUGCACGUUUCUCCAUCCCUGGUGCCCAGACCCUCGGACCCCAGCGCCCCGCGCCAGACGAGGGUGGUGGGGGUUGUAGAGGCGCGAGUGAGCGGGGGCCCCUGGAGGUCCCCCAGGCUACCGGGCCGAACCCUGCGCGGGACCCCCGUGGCCCUCUCCUCCCCUUUCAGGGGCACUUAAUAUCUGCAGCAGCAGCAAAUUUGUCUUGGAGGCAAGUCCUUAGCUGCCACUCACUGAAAGCAGGCCAUAUUAAAUUUUUAUAUUUAUUGACAAUUCAUUACCAUAAUUGACUGCGCCAGGGUUUCUGGAUAAGGUAGACUGCGGGCCUCCUAAGCGUAAGGAGAGCUCCCUCUGAGCUGGAUUUGCAAUUAAAAACGCGGGCAGAUUGGAAUUUAUUUAUUGUGUAAAUAUGAUGAGUGGAAUUUUUUAAAGUCCUGGUUGGAGAAUUGCACAUUUCUCACCGGCUGUAUUCGUGGGUCUCUUCGAAGCCCAUAUGAAGCUGCUGAAGUUGUCAAUUAACUGGGAUUUGACCAACUGG